rnacentral:rRNA from 1 species
AUUAAACGCUGGCGGCAUGCCUUACACAUGCAAGUCGAACGGCAGCACGGGGGCAACCCUGGUGGCGAGUGGCGGACGGGUGAGUAAAGCAUCGGAACGUAUCCUGGAGUGGGGGAUAACGUAGCGAAAGUUACGCUAAUACCGCAUAUUCUGUGAGCAGGAAAGCAGGGGAUCGCAAGACCUUGCGCUCUGGGAGCGGCCGAUGUCGGAUUAGCUAGUUGGUGGGGUAAAGGCCUACCAAGGCGACGAUCCGUAGCGGGUCUGAGAGGAUGAUCCGCCACACUGGGACUGAGACACGGCCCAGACUCCUACGGGAGGCAGCAGUGGGGAAUUUUGGACAAUGGGCGCAAGCCUGAUCCAGCCAUGCCGCGUGAGUGAAGAAGGCCUUCGGGUUGUAAAGCUCUUUCGGUCGGGGAAGGAAAUUAGCAUGGGUUAAUACCCUGUGUGGAUGACGGUACCGGAAGUAAGAAGACACCGGCUAACUACGUGCCAGCAGCCGCGGUAA